UACAGAGGUCCCGAGCGUUUGUCCGGAAUCAUUGGGCGUAAAGAGCGCGUAGGCGGUCCGGUAAGUCCGCUGUGAAAGUCAAGGGCUCAACCCUUGAAUGCCGGUGGAUACUGUCGGGCUAGAGUCCGGAAGAGGCGAGUGGAAUUCCUGGUGUAGCGGUGAAAUGCGCAGAUAUCAGGAGGAACACCAAUGGCGAAGGCAGCUCGCUGGGACGUGACUGACGCUGAGACGCGAAAGCGUGGGGAGCAAACAGG
rnacentral:rRNA from 1 species